CCUACGGGAGGCUGCAGUGGGGAAUAUUGCACAAUGGGCGCAAGCCUGAUGCAGCCAUGCCGCGUGUGUGAAGAAGGCCUUCGGGUUGUAAAGCACUUUCAGCGGGGAGGAAGGCGUUAAGGUUAAUAACCUUGUCGAUUGACGUUACCCGCAGAAGAAGCACCGGCUAACUCCGUGCCAGCAGCCGCGGUAAUACGGAGGGUGCAAGCGUUAAUCGGAAUUACUGGGCGUAAAGCGCACGCGGCGGUGCUGUCAAGUCGGAUGUGAAAUCCCCGGGCUCAACCUGGGAACUGCAUUCGAAACUGGGAGGCUAGGGUCUUGUAGAGGGGGUAGAAUUCCAGGUGUAGCGGUGAAAUGCGUAGAGAUCUGGAGGAAUACCGGUGGCGAAGGCGGCCCCCUGGACAAAGACUGACGCUCAGGUGCGAAAGCGUGGGGAGCAAACAGGAUUAGAUACCCCAGUAGUC
rnacentral:rRNA from 1 species